rnacentral:rRNA from 1 species
GACCCGGCCUGGUCUAGUAUAAGCAAUCUAUACUGUGAAACUGCGAAUGGCUCAUUAAAUCAGUUAUCGUUUAUUUGAUAGUACCUUACUACUUGGAUAACCGUGGUAAUUCUAGAGCUAAUACAUGCUAAAAACCCCGACUUCGGAAGGGGUGUAUUUAUUAGAUAAAAAACCAAUGCCCUUCGGGGCUCCUUGGUGAAUCAUGAUAACUUAACGAAUCGCAUGGCCUUGCGCCGGCGAUGGUUCAUUCAAAUUUCUGCCCUAUCAACUUUCGAUUGUAGGAUAGUGGCCUACAAUGGUUUCAACGGGUAACGGGGAAUUAGGGUUCUAUUCCGGAGAGGGAGCCUGAGAAACGGCUACCACAUCCAAGGAAGGCAGCAGGCGCGCAAAUUACCCAAUCCCGAUACGGGGAGGUAGUGACAAUAAAUACUGAUACAGGGCUCUUUUGGGUCUUGUAAUUGGAAUGAGUACAAUUUAAAUACCUUAACGAGGAACAAUUGGAGGGCAAGUCUGGUGCCAGCAGCCGCGGUAAUUCCAGCUCCAAUAGCGUAUAUUAAAGUUGUUGCAGUUAAAAAGCUCGUAGUUGAACCUUGGGCCUGGCUGGCCGGUCUGCCUCACCGCAUGUACUGGUUCGGCCGGGUCUUUCCUCCUGGGGAUCCGCAUGCCCUUCACUGGGUGUGUUGGGGAACCAGGACUUUUACUUUGAAAAAAUUAGAGUGUUCAAAGCAGGCCUUUGCUCGAAUACAUUAGCAUGGAAUAAUAGAAUAGGACGUGCGGUCCUAUUUUGUUGGUUUCUAGGACCGCCGUAAUGAUUAAUAGGGAUAGUCGGGGGCAUCAGUAUUCAGUUGUCAGAGGUGAAAUUCUUGGAUUUACUGAAGACUAACUACUGCGAAAGCAUUUGCCAAGGAUGUUUUCAUUAAUCAGUGAACGAAAGUUAGGGGAUCGAAGACGAUCAGAUACCGUCGUAGUCUUAACCGUAAACUAUGCCGACUAGGGAUCGGGCGAUGUUAUUUCUUUUUGACU